UACGUAGGGACCAAGCGUUGUUCGGAUUUACUGGGCGUAAAGGGCGCGUAGGUGGCAAUUCAAGUCAUCUGUGAAAUCUCCGGGCUUAACCCGGAACGGUCAGGUGAUACUGUUUUGCUAGAGUGCGGAAGGGGCAAUCGGAAUUCUCGGUGUAGCGGUGAAAUGCGUAGAUAUCGAGAGGAACACCAGAGGUGAAGACGGGUUGCUGGGCCGACACUGACGCUGACAGCGCGAAAGCCAGGGGAGCAAACGGG
rnacentral:rRNA from 1 species